UGGGGAAUCUUGGACAAUGGGCGCAAGCCUGAUCCAGCCAUGCCGCGUGGAUGAUGAAGGCCUUAGGGUUGUAAAAUCCUUUCGUUGGGGACGAUAAUGACGGUACCCAAAGAAGAAGCUCCGGCUAACUUCGUGCCAGCAGCCGCGGUAAUACGAAGGGGGCUAGCGUUGUUCGGAUUUACUGGGCGUAAAGGGCGCGUAGGCGGCGUGGUAAGUCAUCUGUGAAAUCUCCGAGCUUAACUCGGAACGGUCAGAUGAUACUGCUGUGCUAGAGUACAGAAGGGGCAAUCGGAAUUCUUGGUGUAGCGGUGAAAUGCGUAGAUAUCAAGAGGAACACCUGAGGCGAAGGCGGGUUGCUGGGCUGAUACUGACGCUGAGGCGCGAAAGCUAGGGUAGCAAACGGGAUUAGAUACCCUUGUAGUCCCUGAGCGGGCUGGCAAGGCGC
rnacentral:rRNA from 1 species